GCUAAACGCGAAGAACCUUACCAGCCCUUGACAUGUCGGUCGCGGAUUACAGAGAUGUUUUCCUUUCAGUUAGGCUGGACCGAACACAGGUGCUGCAUGGCUGUCGUCAGCUCGUGUCGUGAGAUGUUGGGUUAAGUCCCGCAACGAGCGCAACCCUCGCCCUUAGUUGCCAGCAUUCAGUUGGGCACUCUAAGGGGACGUGCCGGUGAUAAGCCGAGAGGAAGGUGGGGAUGACGUCAAGUCCUCAUGGCCCUUACGGGCUGGGCUACACACGUGCUACAAUGGUGGUGACAGUGGGCAGCGAGACAGCGAUGUCGAGCUAAUCUCCAAAAGCCAUCUCAGUUCGGAUUGUCCUCUGCAACUCGAGGGCAUGAAGUUGGAAUCGCUAGUAAUCGCGGAUCAGCACGCCGCGGUGAAUACCGUUCCCGGGUCUUGUACACACC
rnacentral:rRNA from 1 species